CUAAAAUAGCAAGAAGUUUGCUUGGUAUGGAGAGGAAUCAAGCUUGACUGUGUUAUGCAUAGUAAUUGUGUUUUGCUGUUUGCAAAAUGUAAUUGCUG